rnacentral:rRNA from 1 species
GGCUUCGGCUUCCUCCAACCCCUGUGACAUACCACUUGUUGCCUCGGCGGAUCAGCCCGCUCCCGGUAAAACGGGACGGCCCGCCAGAGGACCCCUAAACUCUGUUUCUAUAUGUAACUUCUGAGUAAAACCAUAAAUAAAUCAAAACUUUCAACAACGGAUCUCUUGGUUCUGGCAUCGAUGAAGAACGCAGCAAAAUGCGAUAAGUAAUGUGAAUUGCAGAAUUCAGUGAAUCAUCGAAUCUUUGAACGCACAUUGCGCCCGCCAGUAUUCUGGCGGGCAUGCCUGUUCGAGCGUCAUUUCAACCCUCAAGCACAGCUUGGUGUUGGGACUCGCGUUAAUUCGCGUUCCUCAAAUUGAUUGGCGGUCACGUCGAGCUUCCAUAGCGUAGUAGUAAAACCCUCGUUACUGGUAAUCGUCGCGGCCACGCCGUUAAACCCCAACUUCUGAAUGUUGACCUCGGAUCAGGUAGGAAUACCCGCUGAACUUAAGCAUAUCAAUAAGCGGAGGAAA